UACAGAGGUCUCAACCGUUGUUCGGAUUCAUUGGGCGUAAAGGGUGCGUAGGCGGUCGCGCAAGUCGGAUGUGAAAUCUCAGGGCUCAACCCUGAAACUGCAUUCGAUACUGCGUGGCUCGAGUGCUGGAGAGGAGACUGGAAUUUACGGUGUAGCAGUGAAAUGCGCAGAUAUCAGGAGGAACACCGAUGGCGAAGGCAGGUCACUGGGCCGCAACUGACGCUGAGGAGCGAAAGCAUGGGGAGCGAACAGG
rnacentral:rRNA from 1 species